UCUCAAAAACAGUGACUGAGAUCAUACCUGAACUCUGGUCUUCCCAAUUCCAAGCUUAGUACUUUUAUCAAUUUCAGCCUUUGAUUGGCCCAAUAUUAGAAAGAACUUUUAUCUAUAGGGAUUAAGAGAUGCUAAAACUAACUCUAAAGGAAUUUCAUAAUCAGAUAACUAUCUUUCUAUUAAAAAUUUCAGUCACUGUAGAGCAGAGGUGCCAACUUACUACUGAGUGAAAAUAUAAUUGAGAAUAUUUAACAAAAUAAGUAAAAACAACAAAAAAAGAAAAAUACAACAUAGGUUAUAUUAUUUUUUUGUUUGUAACAAAAAAGAUCCACUUUUAUUUGAGUUUGAAACCAUUGGUUUAAAAGACUGAGCUAUCUAUAAAUCCACUCCGGCCUUCCCAUGUUUUAUUUCUCUGAAAUGUAUCAGUAUUAUCUAAUUCCUUUUUUUUUUUCUACUUUCAUUAUUAUCCAAAACUAAUCCUAAAAACAUGCCUGAUUUUCACCUUUCAAGUAUCAAACUAAUUUAUAUCCAAGGGUCUUGCCCAAUAUGUCUAUAACUACCCACAGGUCACGGGUGGGUUGACCAUAAAGCCCUCUGGAAUUUGUAGCUCUUCCCAAUUUGGAAAGAAAGGAAACCAACUGAGAUCAGCCCCUGAAAUGGGAGUUUGGAGUUUUGACAGAAGGCAAAUGCCUAUCCAACUGUGGAGGACAGGCAUGUAGAGAGAGGGAAAAAGAAGAGCAGCUGAUUACAGCCGACUGUGAAAGCCAAAAACCAGGACACCUGAGGCUUCUUUUUUCAAAACUCGGAAAGGUAAUGUCUGCAUAAACCAGUAAAGAGGAAAAAGUAUGGCUCUUGAAUUUUUGAUAACUAUAAUCCUCCGAGACUCUUCAGCAAAAGGAAAAAAUGUAUUUUUUUCAUCCAUCCCCUAAGGCCGAAACUGGGUGGGAAAGGAGCAGUUCAAAGGCAAGAGCAGUGCCAUCCAACUGCCAAGUCUUUUUUCCUCCAUCUUUUCACACCCAACUCCAUCAUCACCAUCCCCUGCCAAUACCAUGCCUCAAGGAUACAUCCUGAUCUGUACCUGGCUACUGGACCCAGAUGCUCUGGAGAGAAGUUGAGGCAGGUGACCUUGCCCAGCCCUGCCUCCCUGAAAUCUGAUUCAUUUGCACAUUAUGGCAUUACCUUCCUUGUGUCGUGGUCCUCUUCAAAAAUGAAGAAUAAAUGAUAACAAGAACAAUAUUUAAAAGAACCUAGAAAAUUUCUGGGUGAUUUUUUCUGCCCAGCAAGCCAUCUACUGUCUCCUCUCUCUGACCAUACCUCUGAGGGCAUGCAAAAAAAUCACACAAAUUAAUUUCUAGAAAUUCCUCUCUCCUUCAGAAUUCUCCCACCCCAGUUCAGCACCUCCGGUGAUCGGACACCAUGAAAACAGCCUGAUUGCCUAGAAUAUAGUCUGGUCCUUCUGUUAACAUUGCUCCAUGCUUCAUUCCUUUCAAAUUCAUGCUAUUUCUACUCAUCUCAAAAAAACAAAAACAAAAACAAGCAAAGAUUCUAUAUCAUCUAUUUUCUCUGUAACCCCUAUACCACAUGGUAUCCACAACACUACUGGAGGCUCAUUUUUAAAGAUUUCCAAUGACUUCCAUCUUAUAAAAUGCAGGAGUUGUUUCCCAUUCCCCAUCCUCUUUGAUUUAAUCUUUAAUAUGUAAUAUGGUUGGGGGUGGACUUGGAGUCAAGAAGUCCAAGGUUCAAGUUCUUCUAACACUAGCUUUGGGGCAAAUCACUUAAUCUCUUCUGAUUCUCAGUUUCAUCAUUUAUAAAAUAGGGAUGAUAAUACUUGUUUAGUAACAAGAAUAUAUAUUACAAAAAAUUUACAAACAUUAAGGUUUUAAUUUCCAUGGUUUUCCUCCCACCCAUCUUCUAAUUCCUGUUUCCUUCUCUACACACCUUAAUUAAUUAAUGGCUUAUUUAUUAUUAAUUAAUUAAUUUUAAAAUUGUGGGUAUUCCAAGGACUCUCUUCUCACUCUUUAUCUUGAACUUUAUUAAUUGAACUAACUUUAUUAAUUAUCUCUAUACUAAUUACUUCCAAAUUUACAUAUCUAUUUUUUACCUUUAACCUGAGCUCCAGUUUCACAUUUGCAAAUGCUUAUUGGAUAUUUUCCUUUAGUAUCACUUCAAGUUCAAAAUGGCUAAAAGAGAAUUCAUAAUCUUCAUUCCUUAAAAGAGAAUUCACUUUUAAUGUUUUUAUUCCCGUUAAUUUUAACACCAUUCUUCUAGUAAUUCUGGAAUAAAAUUACUGAUUACAGCUUUUUAGAGUAUUUCCACUUUUCAUAUACUCUAUUCAGCUAGUUACCAAGUAUGUUUAAUCCUUCAUUCAAAUGUUUCUUAUUUAAACCCUUUCCUCUAUUACUGAUCAUUCUCUAUAAUCACUUCUCACCUUGCUCCACAGAACAAUUGCUUCCUAACAUGUCUCCCUACCUACAAACCAUUCUGUCACCAUAUUUUCCUUCAAUGGGUCCAAUGCAUUUGGUUAUUCUCUUCAAUAAUGCAAACUGCAACCAUCCAGACCUCAUCAUUCUUUGUAUCUGCUACUCAUUUACUUCUAUAAAUACUUCAUGAAAGUUCUUUAUCUAAUGUUUUUAAAUUAUUCUGGUGUCAGUGCAGUACUUGGGCUGUCCAUCUCUUGCCUCUCAUUCUUGCUGAAGUAUUUUUACUCUAGAUUGUGGUUAUCACAGAAUACAUAAUUAUAUAAUCAAUUUUACAGAAGAGUUAAUCAAAAAAAUAUAAGGUCAAUUUCAGUCUGUGCAAUGUGAGAUGAAGUAUUCCAAAUUGCUCAAAGAAUAAUAAUAUCAUAGAAGAAAAUAAAAGAAGUAUCUAAUCUUUUUUUUCUCCUACCUAGAACAGAUUCAACCCAGUUACAGAAGGCAAAAUGUAAGUGACUUUUAGACAUACAGUUGUGACCCCCUUGGGGACCAUGUCCUGACUCUGAGGGAUAUUAUGAGUCAAAAGGAAAAUGGAAAUAUGAGUAACAUCACACUAUCCCAUGAAAGCAAAUCAUAAGACUUGUCUCCAACACAGAUACAAAUACAGUUAUCUAAUAUUCUUCCACUCCCAUUUGUUUAAUGUCAUAAUCACCAUCCACUACAGCUCACUAGAAUAGGUGCACCAUCAAACAAUCACAAAUUAGACAAAUGCUCCUCCUCUCUCUAAAUACAUCAACCUUCUGAAUCCCAGAUCACCUCAUGUCUCUACCAGACAUCCCUUGAAGGACUAGCUCUGUGCUCUGGAAGAGUGAUCAGUAAAUAUGUUCUGUGAUCUUAUAGAAAUAGCCUCUUAAUUAGGCUCCCUGCUUUCCAAUGUCAUCUCUCUUUCUAAUCUAUCGUCCUUACAAGCUGCCCGUGUUAUUCCUUAAAACUUAGAUCUGGUCAUGUCAUUCUCUUAUAUUCAAUAAAUAGUUCUCCCUAUUGAAUCUAGUAUAAAAUAUUUCAUUUUUAUC